AUUGAACGCUGGCGGCAGGCCUAACACAUGCAAGUCGAGCGGAUGAAGGGAGCUUGCUCCUGGAUUCAGCGGCGGACGGGUGAGUAAUGCCUAGGAAUCUGCCUGGUAGUGGGGGAUAACGUCCGGAAACGGGCGCUAAUACCGCAUACGUCCUGAGGGAGAAAGUGGGGGAUCUUCGGACCUCACGCUAUCAGAUGAGCCUAGGUCGGAUUAGCUAGUUGGUGGGGUAAAGGCCUACCAAGGCGACGAUCCGUAACUGGUCUGAGAGGAUGAUCAGUCUCACUGGAACUGAGACACGGUCCAGACUCCUACGGGAGGCAGCAGUGGGGAAUAUUGGACAAUGGGCGAAAGCCUGAUCCAGCCAUGCCGCGUGUGUGAAGAAGGUCUUCGGAUUGUAAAGCACUUUAAGUUGGGAGGAAGGGCAGUAAGCUAAUACCUUGCUGUUUUGACGUUACCAACAGAAUAAGCACCGGCUAACUUCGUG
rnacentral:rRNA from 1 species